AGUCUUACAAUCUCUUUUUAAAAGGCAAUUUGAGUUGUAUUGAUUUGCAGAGCUUGAGUUUAGAAUGCAUAGAUAAAUGCAUUUUGGUAAUAAAUGUUUCAAAAUUAGUUGACUUGAGAGUUAUUAAAGGCAAAAUUGAGUUCAAGGAUAAAUCUGUUGUGAGGUUAAGGCAUUUGUAAUAUUUUGGUUCUGUAUAUCUGGUGAGAGGCAUUUUUUUGGUGUUCUUUUACCUUGCUCACUUUUGUACAAAAAUUAAAGCAUAAGCAUAUUGAUCUUUUUUUUUUUAUUUGACACACUUGUGGAAAAUAACUCCUCCUUUUAACUUGUAUUCUAUGAGAGAAGUGAGACAAGCAAAGAAAUUACUGAUGUACAGCAUUUUACCAGCCAGUAUAAAGGUUAAAUAGGGGGACUCUAGUCUUUUUAAGUCCCAGGUUGGAGUAUUAGUCUGCCAAGCCAUGGAACCCUGAAAAUUAAUCUAAGCUCCUCUCACUUCAUUUGUCUCUAAACUGUGUGUUUUACUAGUACCUACUUCAUGGGGUGAUUGGGAGCAUUAAAUGAUUCGUAAGUGUCUAGACCAAUACCUGGUACUCUAAAGUGCUCAGGGAAUUCUAGGGAUUAUGGUAUUGUUAGGCUGCACAGCUAAGUUUCAGAGGAGGGAGUGGUCGACUCUACCUGAAAGGUGGCUAUAGACAUAAUUAAUAAAAGGAGACAUUUAAUGUCAUGAAUCUAUUAGACAGUGAUUGCCAUUGCUUUUAGUACCGAAUAUUCAUGAAACUGUUCGAUGAUGCUAUUAAGUAUACUUUUUGGAGAUUCUGAAGUAUGAAACUGUCUGAACUAUCCUAGAUCUAUUUUUUAAAAAUGAUCAUACCACUUUUCCUGCAGUAACCUUUCUCUAGGUGAAAUACAAUCCUAAGGUACCCAGUGGUUCCUCACAAAUGAGUAGCUAAGGACACAAACUUUGACCUUUCUUGGACAAAGGCAGACAAACAAGGAGAAAGAAGGAUGAGAAGAUGGAGUCAUCUUACCAAUGGCAAUAGUGAAAGUUGACAGAGUGUGUGGGACAUUGGCCUGUUUGAUCUCAGGUCUGUUCCCUGCCAUUUCCCUGUUUUGAUAUGACCACUGCAGACCUCCGUUUCUCAGGCAUCUUUGUACUGCUUUCCAGUUAGGCUUUGCAUUGGGAAGCACUGGUGAUGAAUAGCAGCAGUUUGUAAAGGUUUGAGGAGUCUUAAUUUAUCACUGUCAUAGGUGAUAGGAUGGUACACUUUCUUGACAAGUAUUAUUAUAAUAUAUAGAUAUUUUCAAAGCAGUUAGGGAAGCAAGGUGAUGUUAUUUGUAUAUCCUAGUAGUUGGAAUAUUACUAAGGCUGUCUUCACAUAGCUUGGAUGCCUGGGUCAAGUUAUUUCCCAGCACACCUCUCCUUUGCUUCUUUUUGUAAAAGGAGGGGCAAGAGGUAUCUUGUUCCUUUGUAUUUCCCUUAGUGCUUAGCAUAGUGCUUCAGAAAUACUAGGGUCUCAAUACUGUUGUUACAGUGAAGUCAGAACCAUUCAUCUAUACCUGUGCUGGCCCUUUGUUUCUGCAUAAGACAGCAGAGAAGCAGUCAGGUAGGAGUGAAUAGAAACGGAUUGUGUCCUAAGGAAGGGAAAAAUCCAUCUAUUUACUGGUUGCUUUAUUUAUAUUUCAUUCAAAUUCAUGUCACUGCUACUUUUCUUAGAAACUCCUGCAGUAGCCCAGUGGAUAAUUCAUCCUUUAUCUAUUGCAUUUACUCCUCCAGGGUCUAGACCUUAAAUGCCAACUUGUACUUCUGCCUCUCUCAUCCCUAUCUUAUGCUCUACUCAAGCCAGUUUCCUUUUGUUGUCUCUACACACUCUGUAUGAUUUUAUUUUUCUUGGACUUUACCUAGGCAGCUCUUCAUCUCCUUCAUGAUCUUUCUCAACUGUUCCAUCCAGAAUUGGUUGUUUUUCUGUUUGUAUCUUUUUAAGAACUUAUUACACUGAAUUACAAUUUGUGAUGGUCUUAAAUCAUGAGCAUUUUGAGCCAUUUUUACUAUUUUUUGAAAAUGGUCAAUACUUGGCAUUUUUCCUUUUAAAUAUUCAUUAAAUGAUAUUGAAUUACAGUUUAUUGUCUUAUAUUUGAUGAUUUAUAUUUCUACCUCAUGCACUAGACUGUGAACUUUUUGAGGAAGGGGCACCAGGAAAAGUGAUUCUUUGGCUUAAUUCUGUUCUGAAUUCCAGAUUGUUCAUAUACUUCCUGGUAAUACAUUACCUGGUAAUAUUAAAAGUCUAGCCGACUUUGAUUUUUGGAAAAACUUGGGAACUUAAUCCUGGAAGAAAAUUAAGGAAGUAUUCCAGUGUGAAAUAGAAAAUAUUUAUCUCAGCCCCUCAGUUUCUGGCACAGAGCUCUAAAAAUCCCCGUAAUUUCCUAUGUGAUAAUGCCACUAAGAACAUGUUUUAUUCCUAAUGUUUGGUCUUUGACUCUGGCUCCUGACAAAGAGUUCCUUAAUCUCUUGAAAUUUUCUGGGUGAUAGGGGUGUCUUUUGUUCUAAUGAGGUUAUGGUUGGUGGGCCCCUAGAUGGGGACUUGUCAUCAGAAAGAUCAAGCCAUAUUAGAAGCCUGGAACUUUCAGCCUCAGGGAGGGGGAGAAUGGCUGGAGAUGGAGUUAAUGCUCAAUCAAUCGGCCUACGUGAUGAAGCCUCCAUAAAAAUCUCAACAGCAUGCUAUUUGGAGCGCCUCCAGGUUGGCGAUCAUACCUGUGUUCUGGGAGGAUGGUGUACCCCCACUCCAUGGGGACGGACUCUCCUGUGCUCAGGACCCUUCUGGGCUUUGUCUUACAUCUCUUCAUCUGGCUGUUCUUCCACAUCCUUUACAAUAUUCUUUAUUUUAUAAUAAACCAGUAAAUGUAAGUAUUUCCCCCAGUUAUGUGAGCCAUUUCGGUAAAUGAUCAAACUCAAGGAAGGGGGCCAUGAGAACCGUGAUUUAUAGCUGGUCAAUCGGAAGUGCAGGUGACAACCUGGGACUGGGGCAUGGCAUUGGAAUGGGAGGAGCUUUGGGUGACUGAGCUCUUCAGUUGGGGGAUCUGGUACUAACUCCAGGUAGAUAGCAUCAGAACCAAAUUGAGUAGGACACAUAGCUGUUGCUGGAAUAUUGGUUGAGGUGGGGGAAAAAAACACACUCUUGGUGUCAGAAAUAUUGUGAGUGUGACAGUCAAGGAAAACACAGGAGAAUUUUUCUAAGACAUCCAGGACAUGGUUCAUCCAUUGGAAAUCCAAGCUAUUUUUGAGCAGAUGCUUCUGAAAGACUAAGUCACAGAACUGUACUAAUCAAUAUUGGUUUUAACUUUAUAAACAGAAUAAUCUGGAGAUACACAAAAUAAAAUGGGGCUGAUAUUUUCAGCUUAAUACCAGACAACUUGUUGACAUUUACUUUUAGGUUAUUAAUAUUUUUUCAUACCACCUAGAUAAGUAUAUAAAACAUAAUUCUCAAUUAUGGAGCUUAAUGAAAAAUUUCAGAAGCAGCCAUAUUCAUUGCCUAUAUAUAAGUACGGAUUUAUUCUUAUUGGUUACUGUGUCAUUUGAGAUUUUUUUUAAAGUCAUUUAAGAAAAUGAUUCUUAAAAUGGGUUGCACAUUCAAACUAGGCUAUUUAAGCAGAGUUUAACAAAGGGAGUGCUUAUAAAGUUGUGACCAGGGUUAGAGAAACCACAGGGGAGAGUGCAGGGUCCUAGAUCUAGUGACUGAGGGAGCUGUUACCAAGGAGAUGAAGGGGUUACCAGAAUGUGGAGAGAUAGCUAUGUGGGAAGCGUCUGUUGAAAGGAACAGGGGGUGUGGUGGAGGCUCAGCUAACUCAUGCUAUGGAGCAGGGAGUGGGUUAAGGAGGUGAUAAUCCCAUCUCAUUCUCCCUUUGCCCUCUGAUCUGUCAGUACCUCCCAGUGAAUGAAACCAACUGAAAGCUAUAAGUCAUGAAGCCCAUUUAUGUAGACUCUUGGGUCACAGACAUGGUAACAGAGAGCACAGGGCAAAUGUGAAAUAGCUAAUGUAGGCACUGAUUAGCUCUAUAUUUCCCCAUGUUCCCAAAAUGAGGACAGGCAUUAGAGUGGGAACAUAAGAUAGCUUGUUCUUUGGAUGACCCAGGUACUGAUUAUCACAGGAUUCUUACAGAUUCUAGAAUACAUAUAUUUUGGUGUUUUAGGGCCACACUUGUGGCAUAGGAGUGGGUUAAAUAGGGGGUUGAAUCGGAGCUGCAGCUGCCGGCCUACACUAUGGCCACAGCAACACCAGGUCUGAGCCACAGCUGUGACCUACACCACAGCUCAAGUCAACACUAGAUCCUUAGCCCACUGAGCAAGGCCAGGGAUUGAACCUGCAUCCUCAUGGGUACUAGUCGAGUUUGUAAUCUGUGGAGCCACAAAGGGAGCUCCCAAUCCUAGAAUCUUGAUGAGUCUUAACUGGGUAUGAAAAUAAGCCCCCAAAUUUCUAAGGGGGCCCUACUCAUUAUAGAAAUACAGUCAUAAUCCUCAAAAUACCAGCUGUCACCAGUUGAUUAGAGUUAGCUCAUAGAAUGUAAGAGAUUUUCUGUUUCUGGUGAGUAAGUUUGGAGCAAUCAGAAAAGGGCCGGAGAGAUGAGGAGCUGGAAUCGAGGUAGACCUUGAAGAUUUCCUCUUGUGCUUUGGAAGCGAGAGUGCUGGCUUUUCUACUACAGUUUUCCAGAAUCACCAACUUUGAUGCGUAUGAAGUUUUUGGAGAAUUAGACCAGUUACAUCACACCUUCGCUUUCUCUUUUUAACUCCAACUCUAACUUUUUUCUGAAAUAAUUUAUUUUCUAUCUCUUUAAUCAUUUUCCCUGCUCUUUGGACGGUUUCCAGUUUCUCCACAUUCUUUCAAAUAUAGCUUAACUAUUACAAAAGGCUAUUCUGGAAAAUCAUUACUUAAAGGAAGAUUGUCAAAGCAUUUAAACGUUUAAAAAUGGCGACAUAAAUGUUAAAAAAUGAAGUGUUCCUGUCUAAUAAUGCUGAUAGUGGAAUUGUAGUAAAUUAAAUUACAUCAGGUCAGAGCAAAAACCUUGAAUGAGAGUCAAGCAUAUCGGUGUCUGAGAAAGAAAUUCUUUGUUAAGAGAAAGUGAUUGCAAAGAGCCAAAAAUAAAACUGAAGAGAGAACUUUUCCUUGUGCCAGUCAUUAAAAAUUCUCCUCUAAGAUGAGGAUCUCUUUGUUUCUGGAAGUCGAGAUGCUAAAGUGAAAUCUCAAAGAAGCCCAGAUAUUUUGUU
rnacentral:lncRNA from 1 species